rnacentral:rRNA from 1 species
UACGGAGGAUCCAAGCGUUAUCCGGAUUUAUUGGGUUUAAAGGGUGCGUAGGCGGCUUAUUAAGUCAGGGGUGAAAGACGGUUGCUCAACAAUCGCAGUGCCUUUGAUACUGGUGUUCUUGGGUGACGGUGAGGUAGGCGGAAUGGGUGGUGUAGCGGUGAAAUGCAUAGAUACCACCCAGAACUCCGAUUGCGAAGGCAGCCUACUGGUCGUUAACCGACGCUCAGGCACGAAAGCGUGGGGAUCAAACAGG